rnacentral:rRNA from 1 species
CACGGAAUUAGCCGGUCCUUAUUCGAAUGGUACAUGCAAAACAUUACACGUAAUGUCGAUUAUUCCCAAACAAAAGCAGUUUACAACCCAUAGGGCCGUCAUCCUGCACGCUACUUGGCUGGUUCAGACUCUCGUCCAUUGACCAAUAUUCCUCACUGCUGCCUCCCGUAGGAGUUUGGACCGUGUCUCAGUUCCAAUGUGGGGGACCUUCCUCUCAGAACCCCUACUGAUCGUUGCCUUGGUGAGCCGUUACCUCACCAACAAGCUAAUCAGACGCAUCCCCAUCCUAUACCGAUAAAUCUUUAAUUCAAAUCAGAUGUCAUCAAUGAAUAUCAUUGGGUAUUAGUCCGUCUUUCAACGGGUUAUCCCCAAGUAAAGGGCAGGUUGGAUACGCGUUACUCACCCGUGCGCCGGUCGACGUCCAAAGUGUGCAAGCACUCUCUGCCGUUUCCCCUCGACUUGCAUGUGUUAAGCCUAUAGCUAGCGUUCAUCCUGAGCCAGGAUA